rnacentral:rRNA from 1 species
UACAGAGGUCUCGAGCGUUAGGCGGAAUCACUGGGCUUAAAGCGUGUGUAGGCGGGCUUUUAAGUCAGCGGUGAAAUCUCCGGGCUCAACCCGGAAACUGCCAUUGAUACUAUUAGUCUUGAAUAUCGUUGAGGUUGGCGGAAUAUAUCAUGUAGCGGUGAAAUGCAUAGAUAUGAUAUAGAACACCGAUUGCGAAGGCAGCUAACUAAGCGAUGAUUGACGCUGAGGCACGAAAGCGUGGGGAUCAAACAGG